UACGUAGGGACCAAGCGUUGUUCGGAUUUACUGGGCGUAAAGGGCGCGUAGGCGGCAUGACAAGUCACUUGUGAAAUCUCCGGGCUUAACUCGGAACGGCCAAGUGAUACUGUCGCGCUAGAGUGCGGAAGGGGCAAUCAGAAUUCUUGGUGUAGCGGUGAAAUGCGUAGAUAUCAAGAGGAAUGACCUGAGGUGAAGACGGGUUGCUAGGCCGACACUGACGCUGAGUGCGCGAAGGCCAGGGGAGCAAACGGG
rnacentral:rRNA from 1 species